AAGACGAUGACGUUAAUAGGCCGGGUGUGUAAGCGCAGCGAUGCGUUGAGCUAACCGGUACUAAUGAACCGUGAGGCUUAACCUU
rnacentral:rRNA from 1 species